rnacentral:rRNA from 1 species
UACGUAGGUGGCAAGCGUUGUCCGGAAUUAUUGGGCGUAAAGCGCGCGCAGGUGGUUUCUUAAGUCUGAUGUGAAAGCCCACGGCUCAACCGUGGAGGUCAUUGGAAACUGGGGAACUUGAGUGCAGAAGAGGAAAGUGGAAUUCCACGUGUAGCGGUGAAAUGCGUAGAGAUGUGGAGGAACACCAGUGGCGAAGGCGACUUCUGGUCUGUAACUGACACUGAGGCGCGAAGGCUAGGGGAGCAAACGGGAUU